UCACAAAACUGCGAGAGGCUGACAUGCAGAUCGCAGAUUUUGGGCUAGAAUUAAGAAGCACAAGCUUUUGAAUACGACUUUACGACCUACACUAAAAGAUAACCAAACCACGCUGCCGCUGGCCGCUAGCCCAAUGUUCGCAUGUAAACCGACCUUUACAGCACCGAACAGAGAAGAACGAAGAACAAAAAAUGAAAGUUCUACUAACACGAGGACAACGGUUGGUGAAAUGCAGGAAGUAAUAUCGUUCUCGCAAUACCGCUACAGUCGUCAAGUGCAUGCAAAAUGGCUCGCGGCGAGUUGGGGCCAAGAAAAACUUGGUGAAUAAUAAACAUGUAUUUUUGUUGUU